GAUGAACGCUGGCGGCGUGCUUAACACAUGCAAGUCGAACGAAGCACUUUAUUUGAAACCUUCGGGUAGAUUAUUCUGUGACUUAGUGGCGGACGGGUGAGUAACGCGUGGGUAACCUGCCUCAUACACCGGGAUAACAGUUGGAAACGGCUGCUAAUACCGGAUAAGCAUACAGUACCGCAUGGUACAGUGUGAAAAACUCAGGUGGUAUGAGAUGGACCCGCGUCUGAUUAGCUAGUUGGUAAGGUAACGGCUUACCAAGGCGACGAUCAGUAGCCGACUUGAGAGAGUGAUCGGCCACAUUGGGACUGAGACACGGCCCAAACUCCUACGGGAGGCAGCAGUGGGGAAUAUUGCACAAUGGGGGAAACCCUGAUGCAGCGACGCCGCGUGAAGGAUGAAGUAUUUCGGUAUGUAAACUUCUAUCAGCAAGGAAGAAAAUGACGGUACUGA
rnacentral:rRNA from 2 species